rnacentral:rRNA from 1 species
CCUGCCUGUACCAUAACCGACACAGGUGGGUAGGUAGAGUAUACUAAGGGGCGCGAGAUAACUCUCUCUAAGGAACUCGGCAAAAUGACUCCGUAACUUCGGGAGAAGGAGUGCCUUAUUUAUAAGGUUGCAAUAACAAGAUCCAAGCAACUGUUUAUCAAAAACACAGGUCUCCGCUAAGUCGUAAGACGAUGUAUGGGGGCUGACGCCUGCCCAGUGCCAGAAGGUUAAAGAAGUUGGUUAGUGUAUGCGAAGCUGAUGACUGAAGCCCUGGUGAACGGCGGCCGUAACUAUAACGGUCCUAAGGUAGCGAAAUUCCUUGUCGGGUAAGUUCCGACCCGCACGAAAGGCGUAAUGAUUUGGAUACUGUCUCGGAGAGAGGCUCGGUGAAAUAGACUUGUCUGUGAAGAUGCGGACUACCUGCACCAGGACAGAAAGACCCUAUGAAGCUUUACUGUAACUUGAAAUUGGAAUUGGACUUUGCUUGCGCAGUAUAGGUGGGAAGCGUUGAAGAUAUUCUUGCGGGAGUAUUGGAGCUAUCAGUGAGAUACCACUCUUGUAAUGUUAGAUUUCUAACUUUGAACCAUAAUCUGGUCAAAGAACAGUUUCAGGUGGGCAGUUUGACUGGGGCGGUCGCCUCCCAAAUGGUAACGGAGGCGUACAAAGGUUUCCUCUGAACGGAUAGAAAUCGUAUCUAGAGUGUAAAGGCAUAAGGAAGCUUGACUGUGAGACCUACAAGUCGAGCAGGGACGAAAGUCGGUCUUAGUGAUCUGACGGUACUGAGUGGAAAGGCCGUCACUCAACGGAUAAAAGUUACUCUAGGAUAACAGGCUGAUCUCCCCCAAGAGUUCACAUCGACGGGGAGGUUUGGCACCUCGAUGUCGGCUCAUCGCAUCCUGGGGCGGUAGUACGUCCCAAGGGUUGGGCUGUUCGCCCAUGAAAGCGGUACGCGAGCUGGGUUCAGAACGUCGUGAGACAGUUCGGUCCAUAUCCGGUGUAGGCGUUAGAAUAUUGAGAGGAGCCUUCUUUAGUACGAGAGGACCGAGAAGGACACACCGCUGGUGUACCAGUUAUCGUGCCAACGGUAAACGCUGGGUAGCUAUGUGUGGAGUGGAUAACCGCUGAAAGCAUCUAAGUGGGAAGCCCACCUCAAGAUGAGUAUUCUCAUCACUAUAAGUGAGUAAGGUCACGGUGAGACUAACCGUUUGAUAGGCAUUAAGUGUAAAUGUAGUAAUGCAUGUGCUGAGAUGUCCUAACAGACCGAGGACUU